GUGGCUCAGUGGUAAGAGUGCUUGCCUUGCAUGCAUGAGCCCUGGGUCGAUUCUCAGC
rnacentral:tRNA from 1 species